ACAUGACUAUACAUUCAUAAAUGAUUAAUAAGUAAUAAGUUAACAUUUUAGUACUGUUUUAUUAAUUCAGUUAUAAGUCACUUAUAAGUUAUUAGUUAAUGUUGUGAAUUUGACCCUUCUCUUUCAUUUUUCCUUUUCUUUUUCCCAUAUAUAUAUAUUUGUACUACAUAUCCCACAAUUCCAAGCAGACUACAAUACCCAUGCAAGUGCACUACAUUACCCAUACACUUCCUGGUCAAGGUCUAUAAAUAGACCUCACUUCCUUCCUUUGUUUCUCUUCCUUUGGUGAGGGUGUGGGUGUUUGAAUGGACACCCAACCAUGUCCUUUGAGUCCUUUCCUUAGGAUGCGUUAAUGACUUAAGACCAUCUUGUACAUCUUGUACACGUUGUCCAUCCAGUUCAUCCUGUCCAUCUAAUAACAUCUGUCCAUCUCCAUGCCAUGGGAAUUGUCUAUGAAUAAUCAUCUUGAACUUAAAAAUAAAAGAGAGCAAAGGACUGGUAUCUGUCCCGUGUUUUAAUCAGACACGCCAUCAAGUUUCUACACCUCUGAUGAACUUUGGAUAUAUUAACAUCUGAUAUCCUUCAAAUGGUCCUUCGAGCCGGAAAGUAGAAAUUUGGUGAAAUGGAUUACCGCUCAAGACCUGCAAUCCGGCGCAGCCUAAGAAGGAGAAGACCUCCUGCCCGUUUUGCUGACUGUAUGGUGAGAGAAUGUGCUCCCCCUCCUCCUUCCUCACCAACAUUAGUUGUUAGUGAUCAUCACCAAACCCAGUAUGGAAAUCCAUCUUCAAGACCUGGCCCAUGUUUAUCUGCUCAUCAACCGUCUCAACAUGAUUUAAAUGUUAAAUGGAUGUUAAACAAGAAAUACUUGGACUUAAGGGUAUGCUUGGUGAGAUGAUGUCUAAAAUGUCACAGUUAGUAGUUUCCUCUAAACAUUCUGAAUUUUCGGAGUCUUUUGAUGAUGCUUCUGAUGAUGAUAAUGCAUUUGCUACUACAUCUAUUGUUCAGGAAUUGUCUGCAUGUAUUAAGAAUGCUGAACAGAAACGUACAUGUGAGAAAUGUAAUUCCUCAACUGUUCCUUCACCGCCUCCAUUGAGUAGGCCUAGUUCUCUGCCUCUCCCCCCUUCCUCAUUGUUACGUAGUCCACCCCAACAUAUGCACACACAUGAUAGAACUUCACAAUUACAAUCAAGUAAUAUGUUACAACCUUCUAUUGUUCCACUGGUUCCUGAGCCUCCUAAUUGUCAUUCCCUUCAAGUGCAAACAUCGCCAGUAUUGGUACCACCAAUUGGUUCACCACAGCCAGGUAUAUCAUGUAGUCCCUUUUUCCCUUCCAUGGCUCAUACUCAGUUAUCCUCACAAGUAACAUCAGCACAGUUACCUCCUCAGCCGCUGUAUGCUGUUUCGCAGUAUUCACAGCCAUUAGGACCAUCUUCUAGCUUGGCGAUUCCUCAUGUAUCCUCCGCUAAUGUAAGUCCUCAUAUUCAACCACAGUCUGUAGGUCAGGUAGGGAAUCUUGUUUCACACAAUCCUGCUUCCUAUAUUCAAUCAAUUGCUCCCACUACCCAGAUGAGCACAAUUCCAUUCCUUCAUCCGUAUCCAUAUUCUCAGCCAUAUGCUUCAUAUCCUGUUCCUUCCUAUCCUUCUUCUUGUGUUCAGGGACCUUCCUUUCCUUUCUUAGUGAAUGACGACCCCCAAGAAUUUGCAAUGUUGCAGUUAGCCUUGACAAAUUUGUUGUCACCCCAUGAGCCAGAACAUUACAAAUUCCAUAUCUUGCUGGAUCAUUUAAAAUUUUCUCAAGCUCGUGAUCUAGCUUUAGCUUAUGCUAAUGAUCCUAGGCCUUACAGCAUGGCUCUUUUUGCACUACAGCAGAAAUAUGGGCAACCUCACCAACUAGUUUUGAGAGAAAUCAAAGCUAUUCUAGCUCUCCCCAGGGUGAGACCAGGUGACAGCAGAGCAUUUAGUAGCUUCGCCCUGAAGGUUCGAGCUUUGGUUGGCAUGCUCCAAUCUUUGGGCCAAGACCAAGUUAAAUCCGAAUUAUCCUGCGCUUCUCAUGUACAGCAACUACUCGGUAAACUGCCCACAGAGCAUGUGACCAACUUUGCCCGUUAUGCCCGUACUAUCCUAAAGGGUCAAAGCUACAACCUGAUUACCUUUUCUGCCUGGCUCCAAGAAGAGGCUGAGUGUCAAGCAAUAGCAGAUCAGGCUAGUGACUUUUCAUAACCACUCCUGAGUAAACCUCAACCAAAGACCUAUGUUAACACACGAACAGUCUUGUACGGAGUCAACGGUAAUUCUGUUGAGCCAAGAUCCACAGCUAAGCAACCCCAGAAUAUGAGAGAUGGAGAAUGGAGUUCCAAGUAUUCAUGCGCAUAUUGUUCCAGUAGAGACCAUUUCAUUGGCCUGUGCCCUUCUUUUAAAUCCUUAGAUGACAGUAGGAAGGAUGCAUGGAUUAGAGAGAGCAAAAGAUGUUGGAGAUGCGGGCUUAAACAUCUAGCCGUCAACUGUGACUUGAAAAAGCCUUGUCCACAGUGCAAAGGCAGACAUCUUGGUAUUCUUCAUGGAGUUAAUUGUCGCGACCAGGAUAACGGUACAUUUUAUCUUAGUCGCCUUGGAGGUUCUGGGAAGGUACUGCUUAAAGUUGUUGAAGUACUUCUCCAUUACAAAGGCAGAUCCUUGCAAACCUAUGCCAUCCUGGAUGAUGGAUCAGAACGCACCAUGCUGCUACCUCAAGCAUCUGAUUAUUUGGGCCUUAAUGGGGUAACCGAGUCCCUAAUCGUUAGAACUGUACGUCAAGACACUCUCGCACUUGAAGGCUCUUCUGUAACCUUUGAAAUAUCCUCCAUGGUCAAUCCAGAGAAGAAGUAUUCCAUUUCCAAUGCUUUUUCUGCCACCAGAUUGGGACUGGCAGAACAGACUUAUCCGGUUGAGAUCUUGCAGAGACGCUUCAGACAUCUUCGGGACUUACCCCUUCCACCUUUCACUAAUGUCCAACCACUUAUUCUUAUUGGUGCAGACUACCCACACCUGAUAAACCCAAUCGAUCAGGUGUAUUUUGGGCCUCCUAAAUCUCCAGCAGCAAUCCAGACCAGGUUAGGCUGGGUACUUCAAGGCCCAAUACCAAUUCCUAACACCGAUGAGAUGCAGUGUCUUUUUACCAUCGCUAAUCCAUUAGAAGAACUUCGCCACGAUGUGGAGAAACUAUGGAAGGUAGACAUCCUUCCUUUCCGGAAUGAAAAGGUCAUUACUAGGUCCAAGCAGGACCAAGGAGCUAUGGACUUGUUGGCCUCCAAGUCUAAAAUAGUUGAUGUGGAUGGUGUGAAAAGGUAUGCCACUCCGUUAUUGCGUGCUGCUUCCGCCAUGAAGUUACGAGCCUCACCAAAUGCAGUUAUGUCUUCUCUCAGAUGUAUCGAGCGUCGCCUCCAAAGAAAUCCCACAACUGCUGCUGUGUAUGACCAAGAAAUUGCUAAGUUGGAGAAAUCUGGUUAUGUUUCCAAAGUGGAACUUUCUCAUGACUCAUCAAAUGAGUCAUGGUAUAUUCCUCAUCAUAUCGUGGAGCAUAAUGGAAAGAAAAGAAUAGUUUUCAAUUGCUCCUAUCAAUAUAAAGGUGUGUCACUUAACAGUCAACUUCUUCCUGGUCCACAAUUGGGACCUUCCUUACUUGGGGUCUUACUCCGGUUUCGUCAGUGCCCAGUGGCAAUUAGUGGGGACAUCAAAUCGAUGUUCCACCAAGUUAGGCUACUACCAGAAGACCGUUCUCUUUUACGCUUCCUGUGGCGCAACAUGCAGAGGUCAAACCCACCUGACAUCUACGAAUGGCAAGUUUUGCCCUUUGGCACAGUAUGUAGUCCAUGUUGCGCAAUAUAUGCUUUACAAAGGCAUGUCCAUGAUCACAAAGAAGGAUAUGAAGAUAUAGUGAAUUCUGUACUUCAGUCAUUCUAUGUGGACAACUGUUUAGAGAGUUUCCCAAAUUUGCAAACUGCAAAAAACUUCCUAGACCGAAUGCGUUCUUUACUGAUGAGUGGAGGAUUUGAAAUCAGACAGUGGGCAAGUAACCUGCCUGAUGUUGUCAGACACCUUCCUCCUGAAGCCAGGUCUGAG
ensembl:lncRNA